rnacentral:rRNA from 1 species
GACGAACGCUGGCGGCGUGCUUAACACAUGCAAGUCGAACGGAAAGGCCCUGCUUUUGUGGGGUGCUCGAGUGGCGAACGGGUGAGUAACACGUGAGUAACCUGCCCUUGACUUUGGGAUAACUUCAGGAAACUGGGGCUAAUACCGGAUAGGAGCUCCUGCUGCAUGGGGGGGGUUGGAAAGUUUCGGCGGUUGGGGAUGGACUCGCGGCUUAUCAGCUUGUUGGUGGGGUAGUGGCUUACCAAGGCUUUGACGGGUAGCCGGCCUGAGAGGGUGACCGGCCACAUUGGGACUGAGAUACGGCCCAGACUCCUACGGGAGGCAGCAGUGGGGAAUAUUGCACAAUGGGCGGAAGCCUGAGGCAGCAACGCCGCGUGCGGGAUGACGGCCUUCGGGUUGUAAACCGCUUUCGCAUGUGACGAAGCGUGAGUGACGGUAAUGGGUAAAGAAGCACCGGCUAACUACGUG